rnacentral:rRNA from 1 species
GAUGAACGCUGGCGGCGUGCCUAACACAUGCAAGUCGAGCGAACCCUUCGGGGUGAGCGGCGGACGGGUGAGUAACGCGUGGGUAACCUGCCCUAUACACACGGAUAACGUACCGAAAGGUACGCUAAUACGGGAUAAAGUUGUUGGAUGGCAUCUUCUAACAAUCAAAGCUCCGGCGGUAUAGGAUGGACCCGCGUCUGAUUAGCUAGUUGGUGAGGUAAUGGCUCACCAAGGCGACGAUCAGUAGCCGACCUGAGAGGGUGAUCGGCCACACUGGAACUGAGACACGGUCCAGACUCCUACGGGAGGCAGCAGUGGGGAAUAUUGCACAAUGGGCGAAAGCCUGAUGCAGCAACGCCGCGUGAGCGAUGAAGGUCUUCGGAUCGUAAAGCUCUGUCCUCAAGGAAGAUAAUGACGGUACUUGAGGAGGAAGCCCCGGCUAACUACGUGCCAGCCGCCGCCGUAA